UACAGAGGGUGCAAACGUUGCUCGGAAUUAUUGGGCGUAAAGCGCGUGUAGGCGGCUUGGCAAGUCGGGUGUGAAAGCCCUCAGCUCAACUGAGGAAGUGCGCCCGAAACUGCUUUGCUUGAGUGCUGGAGAGGGUCGCGGAAUUCCCCAAGUAGAGGUGAAAUUCGUAGAUAUGGGGAGGAACACCGGUGGCGAAGGCGGCGACCUGGACAGUAACUGACGCUGAGACGCGAAAGCGUGGGUAGCAAACAGG
rnacentral:rRNA from 1 species